rnacentral:rRNA from 1 species
AACGAACGCUGGCGGCAGGCCUAACACAUGCAAGUCGAACGCUCCAGCAAUGGAGAGUGGCAGACGGGUGAGUAACGCGUGGGAACCUACCCUUUGGUUCGGAAUAGCCCAGGGAAACUUGGGGUAAUACCGGAUAAGCCCUUCGGGGGAAAGAUUUAUCGCCAUUGGAUGGGCCCGCGUCGGAUUAGCUAGUUGGUGGGGUAAUGGCCUACCAAGGCGACGAUCCGUAGCUGGUCUGAGAGGAUGAUCAGCCACACUGGGACUGAGACACGGCCCAGACUCCUACGGGAGGCAGCAGUGGGGAAUAUUGGACAAUGGGCGCAAGCCUGAUCCAGCCAUGCCGCGUGAGUGACGAAGGUCUUCGGAUUGUAAAGCUCUUUUGGCGGGGACGAUAAUGACGGUACCCGCAGAAUAAGCUCCGGCUAACUUCGUGCCAGCCGCCGCAGUAA